rnacentral:rRNA from 1 species
ACGAACGCUGGCGGCGCGUCUUAAACAUGCAGGUCGAACGGCAGGAAGGGGCUUGCCCCUUCUGAGAGUGGCGGACUGGUGAGUAACACGUGGGUGACAUACCUUUUAGUUGGGGAUAGCUAUUAGAAAUAGUAGGUAAUACCGAAUGUGACCGUACCUGUUAGAGGGGUACGAGGAAAGGAGCUAAGGCUUCGCUAAAAGAAUGGCUCGCGGCCCAUUAUGCUCGUUGGUGAGGUAACGGCCCACCAAGGCGAUGAUGGGUAUCCGGCCUGAGAGGGUGAACGGACACAUUGGGACUGAGAUACGGCCCAGACUUCUACGGGAGGCAGCAGUUAAGAAUAUUCCGCAAUGGACGAAAGUCUGACGGAGCGACGCCGCGUGGAUGAAGAAUGCCGAAAGGUUGUAAAAUCCUUUUAAGCCUGAUGAAUAAGCACAGUAGGGAAUGAUUGUGCGGUGACCGUAGGGCUUGAAUAAGCACCGGCUAAUUACGUG